UGAGUGGGGUGCCCAUCUGACCACUGCAUGUGUGGGGCUGGGGUAGGAGCGAGGGAGCUUUGCAAAAGAGGUUUAUAGAACACAUUUUGCUACUGUCAGCCUUGUUAUGUGUGGCUUUGCCUGUCUGGCUUUGGGAGAAUGGGCGAGAUGUGCAUGCCUCAGGCUCCUGAGCUCUCUCUGGAAACCUCCUCCCUUCCCCACAGAUGCCCCAGCUCAGUUGAUUUUGGGGCUGCAGCUCAUCUUUCUUGUCAGGGGCUCACACUGUUUUUCUUCUCGUGGUUUGAUCUCUUGGAAGGAUGUUUGUGAGACUGAAAUAAAAACCUGACACGAGU